GAUGGAUUGAUGGUCUUACUACAUGGAUAACCGUGGUAAUUCUAGAGCUAAUACAUGCGUAACUACCCGACUUCGCGGAAAGGUUGUAUUUAUUAGAUACUAAACCAGUCCACUUCGGUGGUGUAAUGGUGAUUCAUAAUAACUUUGCGAAUCGCAUGGCUCUGCCGGCGAUGGAUCAUUCAAGUUUCUGCCCUAUCAGCUCGGAUGGUAGUGUAUUGGACUACCAUGGCUAUAACGGGUCACGGGAGAUUAGGGUUUGAUUCCGGAGAGGGCGCCUGAGAGACGGCGACCACAUCCAAGGAAGGCAGCAGGCGCGUAAAUUACCCAAUCCUGAUACAGGGAGGUAGUGACAAUAAAUAACAAUGCCGGGCCUCUUCGAGGUCUGGCAAUUGGAAUGAGAACAAUUUAAAUCCCUUAUCGAGGAUCAAUUGGAGGGCAAGUCUGGUGCCAGCAGCCGCGGUAAUUCCAGCUCCAAUAGCGUAUAUUUUAGUUGUUGCAGUUAAAAAGCUCGUAGUCGAAUUUCUGGUGGAAGAGUGCGGUCCGACCUUUAUGGCCGGUACUUGUACUCUUCGGCCAUCCUUGGGCGGAGCCUGUCUGGCAUUAAGUUGUCGGGCUGGGGAUGCCCAUCGUUUACUGUGAAAAAAUUAGAGUGUUCAAAGCAGACUUAUGUCGUUGAAUAUAUUAGCAUGGAAUAAUAAAAUAGGACCACAGUCGCUAUUUUGUUGGUUUGCGCACCGUGGUAAUGAUGAAUAGGGACAGUUGUGGGUAUUCGUAUUCACUUGUAAGAGGUGAAAUUCUUAGAUUAAGGGAAGACGAACUACUGCGAAAGCAUUUACCAAGGAUGUUUUCAUUGAUCAAGAACGAAAGUGUGGGGAUCGAAGAUGAUUAGAUACCGUCGUAGUCUACACCAUAAACUAUGCCGACUCAGAUGGGCGGGUGACUUUUGUCCUCGUCUGCACUGUAUGUGAAAACAAAGUCUU
rnacentral:rRNA from 1 species